rnacentral:rRNA from 1 species
UACGGGAGGCAGCAGUAGGGAAUCUUCCACAAUGGACGCAAGUCUGAUGGAGCAACGCCGCGUGAGUGAAGAAGGGUUUCGGCUCGUAAAGCUCUGUUGUUGGUGAAGAAGGACAGGGGUAGUAACUGACCUUUGUUUGACGGUAAUCAAUUAGAAAGUCACGGCUAACUACGUGCCAGCAGCCGCGGUAAUACGUAGGUGGCAAGCGUUGUCCGGAUUUAUUGGGCGUAAAGCGAGUGCAGGCGGCUCGAUAAGUCUGAUGUGAAAGCCUUCGGCUCAACCGGAGAAUUGCAUCAGAAACUGUCGAGCUUGAGUACAGAAGAGGAGAGUGGAACUCCAUGUGUAGCGGUGAAAUGCGUAGAUAUAUGGAAGAACACCGGUGGCGAAGGCGGCUCUCUGGUCUGUUACUGACGCUGAGGCUCGAAAGCAUGGGUAGCGAACAGGAUUAGAUACCCUGGUAGUCCAUGCCGUAAACGAUGAGUGCUAAGUGUUGGGAGGUUUCCGCCUCUCAGUGCUGCAGCUAACGCAUUAAGCACUCCGCCUGGG